CUGCUUUUGAAUUGCCUCAUCCAAUGGAGACAGGUGUAACACCAUCUGCUACCAGUGCCACAAGUAGCCUAACCAUUGUAUAUUGUUACUAUGACUACUACCACCACCAUUAUCACUAUCAUCACUAUCAUCAGAGCCACCACCAUCAUCAUUUGCAAUAGUCGAACAACUACUAGUGUAGAGGCUUGUGUUACGACAGCUUCCACUGUAACUGAUGUAAAUCCACCCACAACUUUAACAAUCACUAGGCAAAGGGUUGGGGCUAGAGUUUGGUCUUACUCUGAGGGCUAUUUGCAAAGAGCAAAAUGUGAAGUAAGCAAAUCAGAGAGAUGAUGAAAGCAGGUUGACGGUGAGGAUAGUGAUAGUUGAUUUGCAGUGUGCUUCUGUG